CAACGUUUCAGCAAUAAUUCUAAUUCUGAAGAUCCAGAAAGAAAUAUAACGAACGAAAGUGGAAGAAGCAGAAGACGGAAAAACGUAGCGGUGGCUUUCAUUCAAAUAAGAUGCCGAGGUUGCGAGAGAAGAAGAACUAAAAAAGGAGGAAGGAGAAGAAAAGGAAGUGGAAGAACCAAUACAGCAGCGGUACGUCGGUGAGGAAACGAGAAAAGAAGAAAAAAGGCGUUGGUCCGUUCGAGUGUUUUUCUAUUCAGAGAAGGGUUCGUAUAAAGUUCUAUAUACGCGACUUCUAUCCCGUUCUAUUCCAUGGAUGCUGAGAUCUUCAAGAGAAGUAGAGAUCGAGUAGAGGAAGGGACUUGGAAGGAGGGAACGGAGAAGCCUGUUCCCCAUUCCGGAGAACCGUUCAUUGAAACGAAUGGCCUUGUCUACCCCUUUCUUCUCAUCCUUCUGUAUCUCAUAUCUCUGUUCUUCCUUCUUUUUCUCUUUCACUCUUUCCGAACGCGAUCCCAAAUGCUCUCAUCCUCUUCGCAAGGGUUAUCUACGUCUUCAUCUUUCUCUUUCCUACACCUCCUUCUCCUUCUUCUUUCUCUUCUUCCUCUUCUACUUCUACUUGUUUCUCUUCGUUUUCCUCUUCUCCUUUAUUCAUUCUUGUCAUCCAGAAAUCCAUCAAGAUUACUUAUUCUCCGCCAAAAGGAAACUCAAAGCUCAACCUAAAGCAUUAUUUAAAUAAACACGGAGUUACUGCUGCGUGAAAAAGCAAACGAGAAAGGAGAGGUUGGAAAAAAGGAUGGAGGCGUGCGCAAUCCAGGGUUAUAUUAAUGGCUCCUUAUUUGAGCGAAGAAAAAAAGGAGUACCCACCUUCCUACGAUCUUAGAAAGAUGAGAUUUCCCACUUGUUAAGACAAGCCGCGUCUUCGAUAAUAGAUUAUUAUUUUAGUACAGUGUUUAAACCUGAGAGUGAAUAUAACACGGGACGAGAAAGAAGAGUAGGAAACUUGAAGAUAAAUAUGUGUGUAUGAUAAUAUUGCGAACCAUUAGACUUUUACUUAUACUUUUUGUGAUUGCCAUUACCUUCCGUAACGAUUAAUCUUUCAUCACGCUAGACCAGUUGUCAAAGUAAAUUUUCAUUUCAACAGUGCAAUGUGAGAACAAUGAUUACCCGACAACUUAUGUGUCAGUUUGCAGUAAUAAAUAAAUAAACUUCAGUCUGUUGUUGGCCAGAGAAACGUAGUAGAUCUCUUUGCUGGACGAACUUUGUAGCUUGAGAAAGAUAAAGAUGUACAGAAAUACAGAGAGAGAGAGAGAGAGAAAGAGAUGAACAAACAGGAGCAGGAGAUGAAAGAGGGGAGCGUAUAACUCUAUGUUUCAUGUUGUUCUCGUUCGCGUGCCGGUCUAUUUUAACCAUCACGCAGCAUUCCAAAAAGACAGUGCUGUGGACAUGCGCUUGCUUUUAUGGAUAGCUAUUAACCGUUGGCGUAAGUACAAACUUGACUUGAAAUUUGGACUAGACCAAUCUGAGAAGAAAAAAGAAACUGAAAGAUAUCAUUUAAUUGUCUCUCGAGCAAAUAUUAAAAAUCGCUAUAAAGUUGUACGCUAAUCGUUCAAUUUUGCAAACUUUUUACAUUCGAAUAUCAAUGAGGGGUAACAUCGAAGCGUGCAAACGAUCCUACAAAAAGUAAAUAAUGAAGGGAAAAAUUAAAUGCGCGUUAAAAAUAAUAGUUUCGAUAACGAAAGUUGCUUCCUUACGAUGCGUUACGAAUUACGCAUUACAACUGCAUGUCGGCAAGUAAACCUUCAAGAAGAUUGAUCGAUGAAAAAAUUUAAUCCAUUUUUCUUGGAAUAUUUAAUCAAUCAAAUUCUGUUUUUGGAUUUUCCUUGAACUGAUUGGCAUGAAAUAAAUUGUUUAAUGGAAAUGAGUUUACGGACCAUAAUGUUGAAAUAGAUUAUCUUAAACAUAGUCAAAAAAUACUUUAAAGAUAAUUAACAAAAACUAGAUACACGUAAAGUUAGUCGACAAAGUAAGGAUAAAAAGGCGAUCGGAAAAAAGAAGACGGCCUAUUUAUAUACGUUCUAUUUAUAUUCUAGAAAAUAGCAAAAAAGGACACUGACAUUAUAGUCGUAGAUUCUGCUGGAGGGCCGAUUCGAGUAGAAAGAAGAAGAAGGUAGAGAGGAGGAGAAGAAAAAGGAGGGAGGUAGCGGAGAAAGAAGAGGAGCGGAGAGGAGUUGAUUUGGUAGGCACAUAUAGAUUGCUACAUAGGAACGUAGGAGGGAUGACAGAACCUGAAGCCUACCUGGCCACGAGCCAAGCCCGUUCUUCUACGAGUUGCGAUAGUGCAUACUCGAUGCAUAGUGGGUAUCUAGCCACCACUCUGUCCCCACCACUCGGUCGCAUGGGUGCCCGCAUUGCAGCUAUGGCCCACCAUUCUAAUGAUGGCAACCACGCAGCUGUGAGAAUUUUCAUUGGCAAAAUGUUCGGAAAUAUCGAGCAACGUAUCAUGAGCAUUUUAGAAUAUUUUAAAUUCACUGGAAUGGCUUUUAUUUCUAACCAAGCAAAAGCCGAUUACGCAAGGCGAUAUUGAUAUUGAGAAAGGGGGAAAUGAAGAGAACGAAGGGGAAAGCGAAGACGAGCGAGCUCGUGCAUAGACGCAUUAGUUAACCUUCGUUAACUUCGAAUUGUCCUCCCUGUUGAAUUUAAUGUAUCGGUGACGUCAAAGCAACGUAUUAAUACGAUGUAAAGCACAAAACAAGAAGAGAUGAACCGGUGAUACCUCGACGAAUAAUUCAUCCGUAGGAAGCUGUAUGUAUACGAAGAAACGAUGUUAUUCAUGAAAAUCUAAGAUGGCAGCUCGUAAAGUCUCCAAUCAACCUUUCAUUCGUAUCAUUCUUGCAAGGUAUUGGUAUGAGUGACAGUUACGAGGUCGAAAUAUUCGAUAACUUCAUUACGAAACAACAUAACUCGACACGUCAUAUAAAUGCUAGUACUUUUAACCAGAGCAAAAGAGAUAGUAUUGUCAAUGCCAGAAAAUAUCGGUCACUUAUUCAAACAUAGAUCGCUUAUAAUUAGACGCAUGGAUAUAUAGUGAAGGUACACGUAAGAGGCAAGGAAGUAUCAAGAUGCGCGAGUAUUCGAGGAGGAAUAUCACGAGGAAAUCAUGCCAAACGCACUUGUGCAAUGAGAUUCAAUGUUUGCUUCUAUCUAUAACGAUAGCCUGCUUUGAAAUCGAUACCUGAAUUAAUUAGUAAAUCACUAUCAAUUAUUAAUCAAUGCUGAAUAUGCAUACAUACAUAUAUACAUCACAUACACACACACACACAUGUAUAUAUAUAUAUAAACUUAAUGUUAAAUUACUAUAUUGCAGAAAAGUCAAUAUUUUGUUUCUUUUCGUAAAUUAUAUAACGACAAAUCGAACUAUACGGACGAUUUUCGAAAAAUUAGUGCAAAUUCUUAUGAAACUAGGUUUUGUUCAAAAAAAUAUCUUUUAGUGUCAACUAAUCGUAAAUCGAAUAUCAAUUCGUAGUUUAAUUUUUCACGGGAAAAUUAUUCAAGAUGACACAUAACUUCGGGAGUCGCUUUGGCAUCAGGAUGAGAGAGCCAUACUUAUAUAUAGAAACCUGGAUCCGUUGAUUAAGAUUUGUGAUUAGUAUUUAUUUUGGUUGUGUUUGGGUCGGAUUCCGCGACGCUAAACUUGGCUUGGGGCUUUGUGCCCUGGUGCAACUCGUUCUAUUAGCCUCGAUAUCAGUCCUAUCUUUUUCUCUUUAUCUCUCUAACUCUCUAUCUUUCUUUCUUUCUCGAUGUGUCAGCGAUAGAUUCCGAGAAUACCCCGAUCAUUUUUCUCGUGAAAACUUUUCAGAGAAUUUGAUUUGAGCGGGUGAUAUUCGUUAUUGGAUGGAAUCAAUUGUUUCAAUUCGACAAUUUCUCAAUGUCAUAGACACGGGAAGGAAUCAUCGGAAAGCGUCGAAGCCCGUUUCAUCGUAGGUCACUCAUUGUUUUCUUAACUACGCCCAUUUAAAAAUAGUCAAAUCGGGAGAUUGGGAGGUUUCUCGUUUCGAAGAUAUCCGAAAAUGAGAAAUUCGAGAGUUUCCUUGAUUCUCAAGAAUUUCGAUUUUACUUCGACGACGGAUAUUGAUGAGAAAGAAGUAGAUAAAGGAGAUGGGAGUAAAAGAAGAGUGAUAAAGGAAGGAAGAAGAAAGUCGUCCUUGUGUCGAUGGUACGCCGUUAGAAAACAAGUUCUUCGAAUCUGCGAUAUUACUGAUACGUCUAGCAAUUAUUGCGGUGGAAAGCGAAAUACCGGCUUCCAAUU